rnacentral:lncRNA from 1 species
UUAAAAACAUAAAUGAAUGUUCAUUCACUAAUUUAGAUGAAAUUUAAAAAUUUCUUGUUAGGACUAAAGAAUUUGUUGUCAUUGUUUACAAUGGGACCUUUGAUUGAAGUUCCAUAUAAUCUUUCUUGGAUAAAUGACAUCCACAUUGAAUUGUUUAGGAUUUUUAGUUUCCUUUUUUUUAAGGUGGAGUAAAAACUGAAAAAAAUUAUACUCCUCCAACCUUUUGCUCAUAACUUGACAACAUUUGCAUGUGUAUGAUGUGCCUUUAGAAUCCAUCCAAAGCAUUCAAAUUAGUUUUCCCUGAAACAACUCUUUUUCUUUUCUUUUACAUACUAUUGAUUAAAUAACAAUUAUAAAACAAGUAUAAUCGGCAUGAAAGUUAUUUUAAAAAACACUAAGUCUUUUUAAGUUUCAAGAGCAAAUCAAAGACUAGCCUACUAGUAUCAAGGACUUGAUGGGUCCUGGCUAGCAGUGUGUUUUGUAGAAGGAAUAGAGUGUCAAUUUAUGUAAUAGUUUAGUUAAUCCAGGGCUGGUUGAGAGAGUUUCUACCAAACUGCCUUCCAAUAAAGUUCUAUUGAUUUGCCCUCUUAUCAACAAUGUAUGAGAGUGCUCAUCUCCUUCCACCCUAGUUCUCAAACUUCAGUGGCUAUAAGAAUCAAUUGGAGAACUUUUAAAAAUGCAGAUUCUUGUCAUACCAUUCUAAUAGGUCCUGAUUUGGAGCAAAUCCCAAGAAUCUACAAAAUAUCAACCAAGCAUUUCUUAGCCAGGUGAUCAGUCAAAAUAUUUAACUCAAGGAUGAGAUUCUAUGAUUCUCAUUUGCCCACAGUCUUCUAAUAAAAUUUGGUUAAUAUAACAAAGUAAUCAUCUGGGUCAUUUCCACUCUUUGACCCAACCUAUUAUUUCUAGAGAAAUGACUCAGGAAAAAAAUUCUCUCGAUCCACAUGUUCUAUGAUAGAGACUUUGACAAUCUGGUAUUCAAAUUUUGUUAACAAAAAUUGAAGCUAGAUGUUUGAAAUGUUCAGAUGCAUCUCACCAGUGGAGGGUAGAUCCUCUGAAGCAUACCAAGUAGGUUUUUCAGAGUUGGAUUAGAAGUUGGAGUUAACUCAGAUUCUUGACUGUGUAUUAAACAGUUUUAGAGGAGCAACCUCUCCUUAGUUUUUAUGCAAGUCAUUUUGCCAUUAAACUGAAUUUAAAUAAAUUUACAGCCAGGUAAAUGAAGGCUUUGUUCUCUAAAAACCAUGUCUCUAAUAAGGCAAUGAUACUAAAACUUGAAUUUAUAAUAAGUAGGAGGUAAUGCCCAUUAUCCCCUAAAUCAAUAAGAACAACAACAAAAUACUCACUUCUCUUUGGACAAUAGAAAACCAGAAUUAAGGGGCCGGCCCUGUGGCGGAGUGGUUAGCUUUGCACACUCCAGUGCAGCGACGCAGGGUUUCACCAGUUCGGAUCCUGGGCACGGACCUGGCACCGCUCGUCAAGCCAUGCUGAGGCACCAUCCCACAUGCCACAACUAGAAGAACCCACAACUAAAAAUAUACAACUGUGUACUGGGGGACUUUGGGAGAAAAAGGAAAAAUAAAAUGUUUGGGGGAAAAAAAAAAAGAAAACCAGAGUUAAUUUACUAACCCUUAGAGGUUUAGGGGCUCAAUUAAUCUUGACUAAAUUGCAAUGUAGCUACCCAGUGUCUUGCAGAGAAGAGUGGGGGGUGAGGGAAUGUUGAUCAAAUUUUCUUGUUGUUUUGUCAGGGCUGAGGGGAUGGUAUUCAACUGCAAAGGAAGAUGAUUUUCUUACUGGGGUGAAUGCUUCUGAACUUUCCUUGGCAACCUAUGGCCCUAGGACUCUGAGUUAGCCUGGAGAGCCAGGGCUAGCCUGUUGGAGUCAAUGGAUGUUAGGGAAAGAAUGCCAAGAGUUGAAUUCUGAAGAGACUUUCUGUGGCUCUAGGAAGCUGAAGCAGGGGUCUUAUUUUAAGGGGCCUGAGGCUUCCAUCUGUGAGUCAGGCAGGAACUGUUAAAGGCCCCAGCCUUCUCGGAGAAGUGUGGGACUAAAUAUACAUAAGCGUCAGUGUGAAAGUCCAGGGCUCCACUGAAGAGGGCAUUUGGGGAGGGAACCACCCUUGGAAACAAAGAGUUGGUAUCAGAGGGUCUCUUAGUGAAGUUUAACAUAAAGGAACUAACAUUUAUUGAACACUUUCUUCUAUACAUCUUAUUUAACAUUAUCAUCAUCUCUCAAGAAGUUGAAAAAUGGUUGAAAUAAAAGACAAAGGGUUGCAGUAAAAGGCACCAACUUUAUAAGGCUUGCUUUUGCAUCUAUAGUAUGGAAUAUUUUAGACUAGAGAAUCGGCUGAUGUCAGAUAUUAAUAUGUAUCAGCCACCAUAGUCCUUAGUACAGGGAUGUACUGACAAAGACUCUUUCCUUGACCAAACUCAGGCUCCUUUGAGCCCUCUUUUUGACUAGGCCUCAACCUUGGUCUACACAGACUGCAGACUUUCAGCACAAACAAUUCCAUUCACCGCACCCUACCCCUGCCCCCACUAAGAGACUGAACAAACUCUACCAUGGUUUCUAACAGUUUGAGGCCAUAUACUUGGGAUGAUCAAGCCCCCUCAAGUUCCUGUCUGGGAAAGCUCAAGUCUGCCAAGAGAAUUUACUGUUUGUUUCAGUCAACACCUGAAGAUGGGGUCCCUGUCUCCCAGUCUCUGUGGGAGCAGGGGAGGAGCCUAACUUUGAUAAAUACCAGUUAGCACCCUCAGAUGGCCUAAUCACAUUGACCAACCUCCCUACCCACUUUUUGUAAUUUUCCACUUGCCUGCCUCUGUUGAGCUCCUACUUAUUCUCCCUCCUUACUCCCUCAUUUUCCCUUUAAAAUGCCCAGUCAUCUCUAUAUGAAUCAAAGUUGAGCUUGGUUUACACUGGACUCUCUUCCCUACUGCAGUAUUUACUGAGUAAAUUUGUCUUUACUACCUUUAACUAGUGUCCAGCUUUGUCUCUCUUUGACAGUUUUCAUAAGAAGGUGAGAUGGUUCUAGUUCUGAGAUGACAUUUCCCUCCAUUUGUGCUAUGGCUAUACCAGACCUAGUUUAUGUGCCUUCUCUGAUGUAUUCAACCCCACAGAUUCCAUGGUUCUUGGCUUCUUAUAACAGUAACUUCAGGAACUUGUCUGAUCCAUCUGGAAGUGAAUGUCCGUAGGGAAUGUGGAAGUGCAGGAACAUUAAUGCUAUAUGGGGCAAAUUUGACUAAAGAGAGACAGGAAAAAGGAAGGAAUCUGCAGAUAAAUUUCCCACUGACUUCUACCUAACAGGUGAUUUCAAGAAACGGUGGCUUCCAUAUAGCCUGUCUAGAGGGUCCCAUGACAUUGAGCAAUCCAUUGUGUGCCUUGUGAAGCUAUGGUCAGCUUAGUAAUGCACUACUUCAUGUUUGCCUUCUCUCCUUUCCUGACUGACUUCUCUUUUUCUUCACUCUUCCUUCCUUGGGAAGGAUUUGCCUCAGGCUCUAAUUUUUAGGGAACUAAGACUAAGAAAAUGGAUUUCAGGAUUAGCCCUAAAAAGCAGACUCUCAGGAUGCAAUAUUGGAGUUGGAUUGCCUGCUUGACUAAAGGCAAUAGAAAACCCAUUGCUGGUAGUAGGUGAGGAGAUAAUAAACCCUGGCAGUAGGGUCACAAUUAAUGAAGUUUUGCCUGUGGUUAGUUGGGAGGAGAUACAAGACAGAAGGCAAGGCACUGUGACAUCAUUAUGUGGAAAAUGAUAAAUACAAGACUUGUUACAUGGGGUGGCUGCUUUUGGUGGCAGUGCAAGUUUUAUAAAAAGAAAAUGACAGGGGCCAGCUAUAUGGGCUACUGGUUGAGAUAAGCGUGCUCUGCUUUGGCAGCCCAGGUUCACGGGUUUCGAUCCUGGGUGCAGACCUACACCACUCGUCAGCCAUUCUGUGACAGCAACCCACAUAUGAAGUAGAGGAAGAUUGGCAUAGAUGUUAGCUCAGGGCUAACCGUCCUCAGCAAAAAUAAAAGGGAAAAUGAAAGACUCAGGGCAGUUAUUGCUAAUUUAAGGAAUCCUCUGAAAACCAGAAGUGUCAAUGGUGGUUUGGCCUCAGGUAGAAUGGGUUGAAAAUCCUUUCUAAUUAUAGGUUCUAAUUAUAGAUCCAGGUUCUAAUUGUAAGAACGGUAGAAAUGUAAAGGAACUUAAAUUUGCAGCUUCCAUGAAUAUACUAUGUUAAAACUAGGACCCAGAUGGGGAGGAGCACACAAAGACUUGCAAUGAGGAUAUUUGAGUGGAUAAAUCUAAGAACCCUGAACUGAAAAAUUCCCUGGAAUGUUCCUGGGCCAGUGGAAUGCACCUACUACCUUUGGCAAAGAUAAACCACCUCCCCUUUCCUAGAGACUGUGCAAUGGCCUCACCUGAAGCAGUUGCCUAACAAGACAAUGCUUACUCUUCUCAAAACCUGCUUCCACCAUACCUCAUUGCCUUCAGGCCAGUAAUCAGGAUCACAUUUGACCACAGCCUGAGAGGGAAGAUACAGUCCCUGCUUAGGGAAGAAAUAGACUAUCUAUCAAGCAAAUGACAAGAUCUGGCCAUUAUAUACCAGCAGGAAACAAGGGAAUAUGUGUAGGAGUGAAUCUUGAGGAUAUCAGAUGGAGGGAAUAUAAGGCUGGAUAGGGAGAAUUCACUGGUAUGGGGGUGUUCUCCCAUGGCUCAGGAUUCAGUGUUCUAGGACCUAGAGCUGGUCUAAACACACUAUCAGGUUGGCUCCUUGAAACUUGGUCAUGACAAUGGCCUAGAGUAUGUGAGGUGAAGUUACCAGGCAUCAUGGCAUUAUAUUGAGCAAAGAAGACAUACAGAUCAGGGAAGGAGUGAUGUUAGAACAGAUUUACUAUGUACAACCUGAGAACCUGUCACUGAUUAUGUUCCCUGUAAGGACGUAGAGGUCACUCCCAUCUCUAAGGAAACAGAAAAUACUAGUGUUGGGUGUGCCCGUUUCCUUAGGAAGCUUCGUGGUGCCUGUUCUGUGCAGGCUUCACCUGCAGAUGUGGCAUGGAAAUUAGGCUGCCUAAUAUCAAUGAGGAUGAUAGGAUUCCAGAAUGACAGAGACCAGUGGCAGAAUUAUGUCCAAGCAAGAUGGACAUAAUUACUGCAAUGGGCAUCUAAAUCAGAGUAGCAAUUAGAAUGCCUUGGCCUACAUGGAUCUAUGGUGAUCUUAGGGGCACGAUAGAUGGAGAAGUGACCAGGGCAUUGCUUGAUUUGUGCAAUAGAAAAUUGAGAGCUGGAAAGCUGCCAUCAGUGCUACAAUUAAAAAAAUCACCCAGUUUCUAGAACUAAAUUGGUUUAUAGACCCAGAGUCCAUUGACUAAAGGAGAGACCUGAUCCUUCCCUAAGGAGACCUUUGGUCAUUUAGCAGAGUAACUGUGUUAGGGGAAAGGGCAAUACCCAGACUCUUCAAAUCUGUUAGAUGUGAAGUCUGAGCUGGCACUGGCCCUGAUGUUAGGAGACCCAAAAUACCAUCCUGGUCUUCUAGUCAGAAUGGGAGUCAUGGUAGCCAGAUGAUAAAUGGUAUAUUAGCCCAAGUCCACUUCACAGUGGGACCAACAAGUCAGCAGACCUGCCCUGCAGUUAUUUCCCUAGUUCUUGUAUAUUUAGACGGAAUAGGUAUCAGCUGGAAUAGAUAUCAGAACUCUUACAUGGCUUCCCUGCACUGGGUGGACUAAGGGCCCUCAUUUUCAGAAAGGCCAGUGGAAGUGCCAGAAAAUGACCCCCGCAAGUCAAGGAUGUAAAUUAGAGACAAUGCUUCACCAGAGAAGGGUCUGUAGCAAUUAGCACCACUAUCAAACUUCAAGGAUGCCAGGGUGGUGGUCUGCAUCAUAUUCCCUCUCAGUUCACCUCUCUGUUCUCUCAAAAUGAAAUGGAUGAAGGUAGAUGAUGGUGGGCCACCAUGUCCAGUCCAGUGACAGUCCCAAUCAUGGCUGGUGGGCAGGAUAUGGUCAUCUUUACGGAAGCACAUCCAUUUGCCAUGCAGGACCGGUUUAAUGAACGCUUGUCUUCCAAUCCCCAUCGUAGUAGGGAGUCUCAAAAUCUGUUUGCCUUUACGUGGCAGGAGCAGCAUGGAGUUAAUGCUCUAUGGGGCAAACUUUUACCAAUGGGAAAGAGGAGAUGGAAAAAAGCUGAAAGAUAAAUUGCUUGCCCUUCAAAGAUUCCAAGAUGCAGUAAAUGCAAAACGCUUUUCUAGAGAUAUCCCACAUUACCAAACAACUUUUAAAGUCUUUUUUAAAGGUAUGGUCAGCUCAGUAAAUAUGCAAAAGAUUGUAUUACCUUUUUCUUCUUCCCUGCCUCACUUGCCUUUUCCCCUCACUCUUGCCUCCCCAGGACUGACUCUGGAAAGAAGAAUUAGCAUAAAGUUUUGCUUUAUGUUGCUUUCUAAGAAAUCUGAGCUAAGGGGCCAGCCCAGUGGUGCAGUGGUUAAGUGUGCAAGUUCUGCUUUGAUGGCCCGGGGCCGGGGGUUCACCGGUUCGGAUCCCAGGUGCGGACAUGGCACCACUUGACAAGCCAUGCUGUGGUAGGCAUCCCACAUAUAAAGUAGAGGAAGUUGGGCAGAGAUGUUAGCUCAGGGCCAAUCUUCCUCAAAAAAAAAAAAAAAAAUCUGAGCUAAGAAAAUGGCCCUCUGUAGUCUCCUUACCCAACACCAGGUGGUUGAACUUAGAAAGGGAAACAAAUACAUAGGUAAGCAGAUGUAAGUUUUGAGGGAUACAUGCUCUCCACUAUUUCUAUGAAAACCAAUGGAGAAGAAAAAAUAAAAGUCAAAGAGAUUGCUUUCAAAAGUUAUCAGAGAUUGCAUUUAAAAAUAUUUGCACAACAGAAAUAUAAGUUCUAUUUACCUGUGUAAUAACUGGCCAGCCAUCUUAAACUAUAAAUUAAUUUAUUGUUCCUUAAUAAAAUUAAUAUUGGUUACAGCUAUAGACUUUCUGAAUAGCCAUAUGGCAUCUGAUCUUUUUUCUUUUUUCCCUGCUGAGGAAGGUUAGCCCUGAGCCAACAUCUGUUACCAAUCUUUCUCCACUUUUUAUGUGGGUUGCUGCCACAGCAUGGCUGACAAACGGUGUAUGUCCAUGCCCGAGAUCCAAACCUGCGAACCCAGGCCAGUGAAGCAGAGCAUGCUGAAUUUAACCAGUAUGCCAUGGUGCCAGCCCCAGCAUCUGAUCAUUUUUAUUUACAUUUAUCAUCUAGUUUGUACCAGCAAACCAGCAUCCAUGAACAACUCUAUUUUUUUUUUUUUGAGAUUUUAUUUUUCCUUUUUCUCCCCAAAGACCCCAGGUACAUAGUUGUAUAUUUUUAGUUGUAGGCCCUUCUAGUUUUGGCAUGUGAGAUGCUGCCUCAGCAUGGCUUGAUGAGUGGUGCCAUGUCUGUGCCCAGGAUCUGAGCUGGCGAAACCCUGGGCCGCUGAAGUGGAGUGUGCGAACUUAACCAGUCGGCCAUGGGGCCAGCCCCAUGAACAACUCUUUUAAGACUGCAAGUACUAAAUAUCCUAAUCUCUGCACCAGAAUCCAAAUAUGAUUGACAUUCUGAUUGGAAAAUACCUUGAGGAGACUGUCUUGACCAUCAGUGAUAAAGGCUGUGUUGUAGCAUUAGUUCAGCAGUGGACUUGUGAAAUGCUGGGUUUAAUCCUCAAACCUUUGAGGCACUGAAUAUAUUGGAAGACUAGGAGCAAGUUCCUGGAUUUUCAUCAAAAGAGGCAAGAACUAAAGGCGUCUUGGGGGAAACUUGAGCUCUGAGGUUCCCUGGCUUGAUGGUUUAGCAAAGUCUUAUUGAGCUGACCUUCAGGGAACAGCUGAAGGCACUGUUUUUAAUUUAAGCCUUUUUUUUCCUGGGCAGUCCUAACUAAAUAUAGAGAUGUGGAGAGUGAAAACUCCUGAAACCCAGCAACCACUUCCAGAGGGGCAGCAAUGAAGGUCCACCCAUAAGAGCUGAUAGGCAUUGCUCAUCUGCCGGGAGGAAGGAUUGACACCUCCAGAGCUUUAUGGGCUAUCCUUGGGAAGAGAAGGGGAGUGAUGCAAACUUCCACCACAGUUCAGCCACAGCCUCAAGAGAGGAUUAUGCAAAAUGAGCUAGCUCAGGUCACCAGACUUGAGCCUCCCAAUAUUAACAAGCCUCUGUACAAGGCUAGAGAUGGGACUAGCACACACUAGGCCUCCUCCUCUCUCUUGGAUGGUAGGGGGCCACUCCCCAAGAUGCACUCGUGUGUGUGCAUGUGUGCACACGUGCAUGCCUGUCCCCCUCUAUUUUCCAGCUCCCCCAAGCAGGGCACCUACAUCCCUACAAGACAUUAUGCCUAUUUUUAUGCAGAUUGCAUUAUUCAUAUUCUACUUCUAUGUUUUAUGUUCUACUCCUAAAAGAUACUUGCUUAAAGGCUGUCUAUUGCACAAGAAGUAGAUUACUUUAAUUUUAAGGAUUUGUUACUGGCAAUAAUAUUCAAGAACACCUUUCUUGGCAAGUGCCCUCUUUACUACAGAGAAAACCUUUGAGAGUGUUUUGCACCUGAUGCUUGCACUAUGAAGAUGCCCCUGGGCAAUCCUUGAUUAUAAUGGCUAAUGUUUAAUAGUGGCAGCAGGACUUCUGCCAUCUGAGAGGCAGCAGAGUAGCUGAGAGCCUGG